rnacentral:rRNA from 1 species
UACAGAGGGUGCAAGCGUUGUUCGGAAUUACUGGGCGUAAAGCGCGUGUAGGCGGCAGCGUAAGUCGGAUGUGAAAUCCCUUGGCUUAACCAAGGAAGUGCAUCCGAUACUGCGUUGCUUGAGUGCCGGAGGGGAUGGCGGAAUUCCCGGUGUAGAGGUGAAAUUCGUAGAUAUCGGGAGGAACACCUGUGGCGAAGGCGGCCAUCUGGACGGUAACUGACGCUGAGACGCGAAAGCGUGGGUAGCAAACAGG